GGGGUGUUUUGUUUUUUAAAAUUAAAGCUUUGACCUGGCCUUUUCAGUAUUUCUUAUGAGUUGAGAAUCUGCUGCAGCUGCCUUAAUUGUGGACCAUCUGAGGAUUGAUGCCCAACUCUUUACCUUGAACAGGUGUUCAGAUCUAUGACCGGACAAGUGUUAUUCACGUGAUGAUCAAAAAAGGUGAAGUUACUGGCGUGGAGACUGAUAAAGGACAGAUCGAAUGCCAGUAUUUUGUCAAUUGUGCUGGUCAGAGCCCCUGUUGAGCUCCCUCCUGCGUAGGAUGCCAGACCUGGAGACAUUGGAGAUCAUGAAGUUGGUCAAUUGCCCCGAGACCUUCACACCAGACAUGAGGUGCAUCAUGGGCGAGUCUCCUUUGGUUAAGGGCUACUUUGUCCUGGCAGGAAUGAACUCUGCUGGCCUUUCGUUUGGUGGAGGAGCUGGAAGUGGCGCUUUGACACAUCCCGAGAGUUGACCGGAGAGGAAGGUGUGAGUGUGCUGCUGGAGAACCCUCACUGAGACGAGCUGGGGCAGCCUCUACCCACACCCACCUGCUCUGGGGAAGGAGAGGUUAAAAGAUUCCCUCAAUUGAAUAUGCUGACAAGAUAGAAGAGGCCCCCCGUCCCCCACCGCUCCCCAAGAGGUGAUGAUGGAUCCUUUCAGAGAAGAAAGUACCAACCAUCUUAAAGUCCAUCCCCCCAGUCACAGGAGUCCAGAACCCCUCGAAUCCCUAGAGAGAGCCCACCCGAUGCCUCUCGUCAGUGAGGUAGAUGGUCAUCUUGCUCGAGGUAUCACGGUGCCAGCCCACAGCACAGUGGAACAGGAACGCAGCUGCCUGGCUGCAGGCACAACUGCCUCAGGGCCGUAACAAGCACACAGCAACUCAUCACCGUCAGCAGGCGGCUCUGAGAACACCUGGCCCACGGAGAUGGACUCCUGCCUGCACACCACCAGCUUCCCUGGCUUCCCAACACAGCAUGUGACAUCCGACUGCCACCACACACACUUCUACAAGUGGGGCUUGCUCCUGUCCCCAUGGGAAUCUGAGACGGGUGGACGGAUGGGACAAACAGCUCAGACUGAGUGUGAGGAGAUGAAAGGACAAGAGAGGCUGCAAAGCAAAAAGUUUAAAAUGAUACCAAGGAGAUAAGAAAUGGAAGGUAAAGGUUAAAUCGAGAAGAGGGACAGGAUCAGGACAGAGGCUCCUAAGACGACACACUAAUCAUUCUAAGGACAUCCUAAUCAUCACUGUUCACCUGGCGCUAUCAUCGAGGUCUCAGCACUUCCACCCUUUCCUUCCACAUUAGCCCACUUCCUGCUCUAACACAGAUGCCCUGCACGGGCAGGCACAACAGACUCUAACCCUGCCAGUGCUCAGCAGGUGUGGGACACCAGCACACCUCCCUGCUUCUCACCUCUAUGGGGAUGUAAAGCAUGAAGCCCGGCUCUCCCGUGUGAGUCAUGCUCAUCACCCGGAUCCCGU